UACGAAGGGGGCUAGCGUUGCUCGGAAUCACUGGGCGUAAAGGUGCGUAGGCGGGUCUUUAAGUCAGGGGUGAAAUCCUGGAGCUCAACUCCAGACUGCCUUUGAUACUGAAGAUCUUGAGUUCGGGAGAGGUGAGUGGAACUGCGAGUGUAGAGGUGAAAUUCGUAGAUAUUCGCAAGAACACCAGUGGCGAAGGCGGCUCACUGGCCCGAUACUGACGCUGAGGCACGGAAAGCGAUGGGGAGCCAAA
rnacentral:rRNA from 1 species